AAGAGGUUCUAUUUCAACUGUCAAAAGUAAAGACAAAUAAGUCAAUGGGACCUGAUGGAAUACACCCAAAGCUAUUAAAAGAGCUUAGUGGUGUACUAGCAAAACCGUUAACAAAUUUAUUUAACCAAUCAUUGUUAAUAGGAGUAGUCCCAGAAAAUUGGAAGUUAGCGAAUGUUGUGCCCAUUUACAAGAAAGGUAAUAGGGAGGAGUUGG
rnacentral:lncRNA from 1 species